rnacentral:rRNA from 1 species
AGUCGAACGAGAAAGUAUCCUUCGGGGUACAAGUAAAGUGGCGAACGGGUGAGUAACACGUGGGUAAUCUGCCCUGAAGUUGGGGACAACUCGCUGAAAAGCGAGCUAAUACCGAAUGAGAUAGUCUUUACAUAUGUGAGGAUUAUGAAAGGUUUCGGCCGCUUCAGGAUGAGCCUGCGGUCUAUUAGCUAGUUGGUGAGGUAAAUGCUCACCAAGGCUACGAUAGAUAGCCGGCCUGAGAGGGUGUACGGUCACAUUGGAACUGAGACACGGUCCAGACUCCUACGGGAGGCAGCAGCUAAGAAUAUUCCGCAAUGGGCGAAAGCCUGACGGAGCGACGCCGUGUGGUUGAUGAAGGCCUUACAGGUUGUAAAAACCUUUUAUUCGAGAAGAUGGGCAAGCCUCGAGCUUGCUUGACGGUAUCGAACGAAUAAGCCCCGGCAAAUUACGUGCCAGCAGCCGCGGUAAUACGUAAGGGGCUAGCGUUGUUCGGAAUUAUUGGGCGUAAAGGGCGUGCAGGCGGACUAAUAAGUCGGGUGUGAAAUCUUAAGGCUUAACCAUGAGCUAUUGCUCGAAACUGUUAGUCUAGAGUUUGGAAUACGGAGACGGAAUUCCUAGUGUACGAGUGAAAUCUAUAGAUAUUAGGAAGAACACCCGGUGGCGAAGGCGGUCUCCUGGUCUAAAACUGACGCUAAAGCGCGAAAGC